AGACAUGAACGCUGGCGGCGUGCCUAAUACAUGCAAGUCGAACGAGUUCUCGUUGAUGAUCGGUGCUUGCACCGAGAUUCAACAUGGAACGAGUGGCGGACGGGUGAGUAACACGUGGGUAACCUGCCCUUAAGUGGGGGAUAACAUUUGGAAACAGAUGCUAAUACCGCAUAGAUCCAAGAACCGCAUGGUUCUUGGCUGAAAGAUGGCGUAAGCUAUCGCUUUUGGAUGGACCCGCGGCGUAUUAGCUAGUUGGUGAGGUAAUGGCUCACCAAGGCGAUGAUACGUAGCCGAACUGAGAGGUUGAUCGGCCACAUUGGGACUGAGACACGGCCCAAACUCCUACGGGAGGCAGCAGUAGGGAAUCUUCCACAAUGGACGCAAGUCUGAUGGAGCAACGCCGCGUGAGUGAAGAAGGCUUUCGGGUCGUAAAACUCUGUUGUUGGAGAAGAAUGGUCGGCAGAGUAACUGUUGUCGGCGUGACGGUAUCCAACCAGAAAGCCACGGCUAACUACGUGCCAGCAGCCGCGGUAAUACGUAGGUGGCAAGCGUUAUCCGGAUUUAUUGGGCGUAAAGCGAGCGCAGGCGGUUUUUUAAGUCUGAUGUGAAAGCCCUCGGCUUAACCGAGGAAGCGCAUCGGAAACUGGGAAACUUGAGUGCAGAAGAGGACAGUGGAACUCCAUGUGUAGCGGUGAAAUGCGUAGAUAUAUGGAAGAACACCAGUGGCGAAGGCGGCUGUCUGGUCUGUAACUGACGCUGAGGCUCGAAAGCAUGGGUAGCGAACAGGAUUAGAUACCCUGGUAGUCCAUGCCGUAAACGAUGAAUGCUAGGUGUUGGAGGGUUUCCGCCCUUCAGUGCCGCAGCUAACGCAUUAAGCAUUCCGCCUGGGGAGUACGACCGCAAGGUUGAAACUCAAAGGAAUUGACGGGGGCCCGCACAAGCGGUGGAGCAUGUGGUUUAAUUCGAAGCAACGCGAAGAACCUUACCAGGUCUUGACAUCUUUUGAUCACCUGAGAGAUCAGGUUUCCCCUUCGGGGGCAAAAUGACAGGUGGUGCAUGGUUGUCGUCAGCUCGUGUCGUGAGAUGUUGGGUUAAGUCCCGCAACGAGCGCAACCCUUAUGACUAGUUGCCAGCAUUUAGUUGGGCACUCUAGUAAGACUGCCGGUGACAAACCGGAGGAAGGUGGGGAUGACGUCAAAUCAUCAUGCCCCUUAUGACCUGGGCUACACACGUGCUACAAUGGAUGGUACAACGAGUUGCGAGACCGCGAGGUCAAGCUAAUCUCUUAAAGCCAUUCUCAGUUCGGACUGUAGGCUGCAACUCGCCUACACGAAGUCGGAAUCGCUAGUAAUCGCGGAUCAGCACGCCGCGGUGAAUACGUUGCCCGGGCCUUGUACACACCGCCCGUCACAACCAUGAGAGUUUGUAACACCCGAAGCCGGUGGCGUAACCCUUUUAGGGAGCGAGCCGUCUAAGGUGGGACAAAUGAUUAGGGUGAAGGUGAAGGGU
rnacentral:rRNA from 1 species